UACGUAGGGGGCAAGCGUUGUCCGGAAUCAUUGGGCGUAAAGAGCGCGUAGGCGGCCCUGUAAGUCCGCUGUGAAAGUCAAGGGCUCAACCCUUGAAUGCCGGUGGAUACUGCAGGGCUAGAGUCCGGAAGAGGCGAGUGGAAUUCCUGGUGUAGCGGUGAAAUGCGCAGAUAUCAGGAGGAACACCGAUGGCGAAGGCAGCUCGCUGGGACGUUACUGACGCUGAGACGCGAAAGCGUGGGGAGCAAACAGG
rnacentral:rRNA from 1 species